CUACGGGAGGCACCAGUGAGGAAUAUUGCACAAUGGGGGGAACCCUGAUGCAGCAACGCCGCGUGGAGGAUGACGCAUUUCGGUGCGUAAACUCCUUUUAUAUGUCAAGAAAAUGACGGUAGCAUAUGAAUAAGCACCGGCUAACUCCGUGCCAGCAGCCGCGGUAAUACGGAGGGUGCAAGCGUUACUCGGAAUCACUGGGCGUAAAGGACGCGUAGGCGGGUUGGAAAGUCAGGUGUGAAAUCCUACAGCUUAACUGUAGAACUGCACUUGAAACUUCUAAUCUAGAGUAUGGGAGGGGGAGAUGGGAUUAGUGGUGUAGGGGUAAAAUCCGUAGAUAUCACUAGGAAUACCUAAAGCGAAGGCGAUCUCCUGGAACAUUACUGACGCUAAGGCGUGAAAGCGUGGGGAGCAAACAGGAUUAGAUACCCCGGUAGUC
rnacentral:rRNA from 1 species